rnacentral:rRNA from 1 species
GUGGGGAAUAUUGGGCAAUGGGCGGAAGCCUGACCCAGCGACGCCGCGUGGGGGAAGAAGUCUUUCGGGAUGUAAACCCUUGUUGUACGGGACGAAGGAAGUGACGGUACCGUACGAGGAAGCCCCGGCAAACUACGUGCCAGCAGCCGCGGUAAUACGUAGGGGGCGAGCGUUGUCCGGAAUCACUGGGCGUAAAGCGCACGUAGGCGGGCUGUCAAGUCGGCCGUGAAAGGCACGGGCUCAACCUGUGCAUGUCGGUCGAUACUGGCGGUCUGGAGUAUGGGAGAGGGAACUGGAAUUCCCGGUGUAGCGGUGAAAUGCGUAGAUAUCAUCCAGAACACCGAUUGCGAAGGCAGGUGGCUGUACCUUAAUCGACGCUGAUGCACGAAAGCAUGGGGAGCAAACAGGAUUAGAAACCCUGGUAGUCC